rnacentral:rRNA from 1 species
AGAGUUUGAUCAUGGCUCAGGAUGAACGCUAGCGGCAGGCCUAAUACAUGCAAGACGAACGGUAAAUAUUUUAGCAAUAAGAUAUGAGAGUGUCGUACGGGUGCGUAACACGUAUGCAACCUACCUGGAACAUGGGGAUAGCUCGGGGAAACCCGGAUUAAUACCCUAUAGUAUUAUUGGAUGGCAUCAUUUGAUAAUUAAAGCGAUAGUGGUUCCAGAUGGGCAUGCGAAUGAUUAGCUAGUUGGUAGUGUAACGGACUACCAAGGCGAUGAUCAUUAGGGGAACUGAGAGGUUGAUCCCCCACACUGGCACUGAGAUACGGGCCAGACUCCUACGGGAGGCAGCAGUAGGGAAUAUUGGUCAAUGGGUGGAAGCCUGAACCAGCCAUGCCGCGUGCAGGAAGACGGCCUUCUGGGUUGUAAACUGCUUUUGCCAGGGGCUAAAGAGCCCAUGCGUGGGAAGUUGAAAGUACCUGGUGAAUAAGCCACGGCUAACUACGUGCCAGCAGCCGCGGUAAUACGUAGGUGGCGAGCGUUGUCCGGAUUUAUUGGGUUUAAAGGGUGCGUAGGCGGCCUAGUAAGUCAGUGCUGAAAUAUCCCGGCUUAACCGGGAGGGUGGCAUUGAUACUGCGAGGCUUGAGUACAGAUGAGGUAGGCGGAAUUGACGGUAGCGGUGAAAUGCAUAGAUAUCGUCAAGAACACCGAUAGCGAAGGCAGCUUACUAAGUUGUAACUGACGCUGAGGCACGAAAGUGUGGGGAUCAAACAGGAUUAGAUACCCUAGUAGUCC